GGCACAAUUCAGCCUGUGAAUGGACAGUGAAGUGUCCCUAGCUUAGGGACAGUGGAUCUUACAGAAGGAAGAUAGUGCCCUGAGCAUGAGUCUGUGAAGGUCAGGCAGAAGGGGCUGGCUUUUACUCCACCAAGGCAUAAACCAGGCAACCCUGUUUUCACCUGGGGAGACACUGCAGUUAACAGUCCCCAGGAACAGUGCCACCAAGAGCUGCCAUCUGCUGCCACAUCUCAAGAGCCUGGCUUUCUCUCCACCAGUCAAGAGCCCCCACCCAAUAUCCACUGCUCAGAUUCCAAUCAGUGUGUAAUGCUGCACUUUAUAAACUAGGAAUGAACAGCUAGGGAUCACCAGACCCUGUGGAGAACAUCUCAUAGAAGACACUCAGAAGAGCAAGAUCAGGAAGCAAAGCAGAACCUUAGUGCAAGCCUCGAUCACCCAGUAACUUGCAUCCUGCCCACGCAUGGAAAAUGAUUAACUGAAAUGAAAGAGAUCUUCUUGACUACAUCAUCUAAAACCAGAAGACACACC